GCCUGGGGGUACAGCCCAUGGGGUCACAAAGAGUCAUACAUGACUGAGCAACUGAGCACACAACGCUCUUGUAGCUGAAGGUAAGACUGAGACAAUAAUUCAUCCUAGCAGUGCUGGUUACCCCAGAGGCAACAGUGAUGGUGGCCAAAGGGAAGCUGUCCGGAAGCCACUGGUAGUGGCAGAGCGUCUUUGCUACAGGGGCUCAGUGUGAUGGUGUUUGUGGCUGCCUGAGCUCUCUUUGUUCCUGCCGAAUUUCCACGCCUGUUUUCAGAUCUCUGAGCAAUUGCCACUCAAUUUUUAAAAUAAUCCUCAUGGAGGCUAGGGAGAUGGUAUGAUUCUCAUUAAGAUGAAACUGGAAAGAUAGAUGAUUUGUUUCAGAGCAAAAACUGGAAUGUGCACCAUGAUGUGGCAGAAAAAGUGCUGGAUUGGGGAGCAGAAAGCUUGGUCCAGAUCCUGGCUCCCUUGGGAAGUCAUUGCAGGAAGUCAUGUUGGGCAAGUCACUCAGCCCUUCCUUUCCUUGGUUUCUCUAUCUGUGAGAUGAGGAGGUUGGAUUCAAGGAGUAAUAACACUCUGUAAUUGUUUAAUCAGCUCUCCAAAGCUUGGGAUUUCCCUCUGAUGGGCUCUGAUGAAGCAGCCAGUGAAACCUGAAAUAACAAAAAAUACACAUUGAGGGUGAAAUGUGACCCAGGAAGAGCCACAGACUUUAUAAUUUUCCCCUGAGUAACGAAAAGUUAACCUUGAAAAAAUAUUUUUGUUGUAAUUUGAGGGCACUUAUUGUGAGUAUUAUGAAAAUGUAGGGCUAUUUAUUGAAAUGAAAUAUUUGGUCCCAAAUAUUUGGGUUUUGAUUGGAUGACCAUUCUGGUUCAUGUUUUUUUGGAAAAUAGCUAUGUAAUAUUGUUCCAUUUAAAAGUUAUCUACUCGUAGCUUCAUACUCAUAGUCAAAGCUAUGGUUUUUCCAGUAGUCAUGUAUGGAUGUGAGAGUUGGACCAUAAAGAAAGCUGAGCGCCGAAGAACUGAUGCUUUUGAACUGUGGU
ensembl:lncRNA